UACGUAGGGUGCGAGCGUUAAUCGGAAUUACUGGGCGUAAAGCGUGCGUAGGCGGUUCGUUGUGUCUGUGGUGAAAGCCCCGGGCUUAACCUGGGAAUGGCCAUGGAAACUGGCGAGCUGGAGUGUGGCAGAGGGGGGUGGAAUUCCGCGUGUAGCAGUGAAAUGCGUAGAGAUGCGGAGGAACACCGAUGGUGAAGGCAGCCCCCUGGGCUAACACUGACGCUGAGGCACGAAAGCGUGGGGAGCAAACAGG
rnacentral:rRNA from 1 species